rfam:Salmo salar isolate Sally breed double haploid chromosome ssa21, whole genome shotgun sequence.
UGCAUUCACUACUGUAAGUCGCUCUGGAUAAGAGCGUCUUAUAAAUGACUAAAA